UGCCAGACUCCUACGGGAGGCAGCAGUGGGGAAUAUUGGGCAAUGGAGGCAACUCUUACCCAGCAAUGCCGCGUGAAUGAAGAAGGUCUUCGGAUUGUAAAGUUCUUUAAUUGGGGACGAAAAAAAUGACGGUACCCAAGGAAUAAGCCCCGGCUAACUACGUGCCAGCAGCCGCGGUAAUACGGAGGAUGCGAGCGUUAUCCGGAUUUAUUGGGUUUAAAGGGUGCGCAGGCGGCACGGCAAGCCGGCGGUCAAAUCGCGGGGCUCAACCCCGCCCAGCCGUCGGAACUGCCGGGCUAGAGUGGGCGAGAAGUGCGCGGAAUGCGUGGUGUAGCGGUGAAAUGCAUAGAUAUCACGCAGAACUCCGAUUGCGAGGGCAGCGCACCGGCGCCCUACUGACGCUCAGGCACGAAAGCGUGGGUAUCGAACAGGAUUAGAUACCCUUGUAGUA
rnacentral:rRNA from 1 species